rnacentral:rRNA from 1 species
CUAGUUGGUGAGGUAAUGGCUCACCAAGGCGACGAUCCGUAACUGGUCUGAGAGGAUGAUCAGUCACACUGGAACUGAGACACGGUCCAGACUCCUACGGGAGGCAGCAGUGGGGAAUAUUGGACAAUGGGCGAAAGCCUGAUCCAGCCAUGCCGCGUGUGUGAAGAAGGUCUUCGGAUUGUAAAGCACUUUAAGUUGGGAGGAAGGGCAUUAACCUAAUACGUUAGUGUUUUGACGUUACCGACAGAAUAAGCACCGGCUAACUUCGUGCCAGCAGCCGCGGUAAUACGAAGGGUGCAAGCGUUAAUCGGAAUUACUGGGCGUAAAGCGCGCGUAGGUGGUUUGUUAAGUUGGAUGUGAAAGCCCCGGGCUCAACCUGGGAACUGCAUCCAAAACUGGCAAGCUAGAGUAUGGCAGAGGGUGGUGGAAUUUCCUGUGUAGCGGUGAAAUGCGUAGAUAUAGGAAG